rnacentral:sRNA from 1 species
GGCGGCGUAUUGCUUAGCCCGUUUUUGAUUUAUGUGCUGUUGGCGCUGCUGUGCACCGGGCUGUUGCGCUUUGGUUUGCAGCGCGUGGGUGUGGCGCGCUGGAUUUGGCACGAGGCGUUGUUCGACACCGCCUUG